GUUCUGACUGUUCUGAGCAUCUAUAUGGUGCCUGUCAUCACCAGCUCUAGGCAAAAAUGGGCCUGACUUUCAUUAUAAUGUUGUAAGAUUUAACUUUAUCGAUUCCUUCCUAAUAUGAGAUUCUAUGGAAAUCUACGUUCUCCUUUUCAUUUAUCAACCAUGAACAGAAAAUUCUCUUUGAAGUUUGGUUUCUAAUGAAUAUUGAAGCCAACUUUAGGACAUUAAAGGAAGUGAUUAUGAAGGCCUGUAUUAUGUACAGGUGCACCAGGAUUUCUCUGUGUGGCCCUGGCUGUCCUGGAACUUACUCUGUAGAUCUCCCAAGUGCUGAGAUUAAAGGCAUGUGUCACCACUGCCCGGCGCUUUUAAUUUCUUAAUUUGUUUCCAUGUAACUCAAGAAUGAAUCUUUUAAA